rnacentral:rRNA from 1 species
AUUGAACGCUGGCGGCAGGCCUAACACAUGCAAGUCGAGCGGAUGAAGGGAGCUUGCUCCCGGAUUCAGCGGCGGACGGGUGAGUAAUGCCUAGGAAUCUGCCUGGUAGUGGGGGAUAACGUCCGGAAACGGGCGCUAAUACCACAUCCGUCCUGAGGGAGCAAGUGGGGGAUCUUCGGAUCUCACGCUAUCAGAUGAGCCUAGGUCGGAUUCGCUAGUUGGUGGGGUAAAGGCCUACCAAGGCGACGAUCCGUAACUGGUCUGAGAGGAUGAUCAGUCACACUGGAACUGAGACACGGUCCAGACUCCUACGGGAGGCCGCAGUGGGGAAUAUUGGGCAAUGGGCGAAAGCCUGAUCCAGCCAUGCCGCGUGUGUGAAGAAGGUCUUCGGAUUGUAAAGCGCCUUAAGUUGGGAGGAAGGGCAGUAAGUUAAUACCUUGCUGUUUUGGCGGUACCAACAGAAUAAGCACCGGCUAACUUCGUG